rnacentral:rRNA from 1 species
AUGUCACUAGCAGCACUGCAAUUGUUGCAGCAAAUCAGGAAUUCUAGGAUACUUUGGACGGGGGCUGGUGGAGUUUCUUCAUGUGUAGUACAAAUGGUAAUGUGUUUGCUUCAGACAUUUGACCGUUUAUAUUUAGCAGGGAUACUUAUGCUUCUCAAAUUCCUCAUGUUUGUGCUCCUGCUGCAUGUCAAGUUCGUCCUGAUUGUUCUGCUGUUCCACCUCAUGAAUAAUCUUCAACACCUUCUGCCAAGAACCCUGGCUAAAAAUAGCAUGCCACCACCUCUACACAUUUUUCCUUGA